rnacentral:SRP_RNA from 1 species
AGCGGCGCCGGGGGUCCUUUGGCCGCGGC